GGCCGUUUGGUCUAAUUGGUUAGGAUUCUCGUCUACGAUAUCAGCGCAUGCAAAAGCAUGACUGAGUAAGGAAACGAGCGGUUCUGGGUUCGAGUCCCAGGAUGGUCA